AGUGAACGCUGGCGGUAGGCCUAACACAUGCAAGUCGAACGGCAGCACAGAGGAGCUUGCUCCUUGGGUGGCGAGUGGCGGACGGGUGAGGAAUACAUCGGAAUCUACUCUGUCGUGGGGGAUAACGUAGGGAAACUUACGCUAAUACCGCAUACGACCUACGGGUGAAAGCAGGGGACCUUCGGGCCUUGCGCGAUUGAAUGAGCGGAUGUCGGAUUAGCCAGUUGGCGGGGUAAAGGCCCACAAAGGCGACGAUCCGUAGCUGGUCUGAGAGGAUGAGCAGCCACACUGGAACUGAGACACGGUACAGACUCCUACGGGAGGCAGCAGUGGGGAAUAUUGGACAAUGGGCGCAAGCCUGAUCCAGCCAUACCGCGUGGGUGAAGAAGGCCUUUGGGUUGUAAAGCCCUUUUGUUGGGAAAGAAAUCCAGCUGGCUAAUACCCGGUUGGGAUGACGGUACCCAAAGAAUAAGCAUCGGCUAACUUCGUGCCAGCCGCCGCAGUAA
rnacentral:rRNA from 1 species